rnacentral:rRNA from 1 species
AACGAACGCUGGCGGCAUGCCUAACACAUGCAAGUCGAACGAGACCUUCGGGUCUAGUGGCGCACGGGUGCGUAACGCGUGGGAACCUGCCCUUAGGUUCGGAAUAACUCCCCGAAAGGGGUGCUAAUACCGGAUAAUGUCUUCGGACCAAAGAUUUAUCGCCUUUGGAUGGGCCCGCGUUGGAUUAGCUAGUUGGUAGGGUAAAAGCCUACCAAGGCGACGAUCCAUAGCUGGUCUGAGAGGAUGAUCAGCCACACUGGGACUGAGACACGGCCCAGACUCCUACGGGAGGCAGCAGUGGGGAAUAUUGGAAAAUGGGCGAAAGCCUGAUCCAGCAAUGCCGCGUGAGUGAUGAAGGCCUUAGAGUUGUAAAGCUCUUUUACCCGGGAUGAUAAUGACAGUACCGGGAGAAUAAGCUCCGGCUAACUCCGUG